UAUAACGAUUUGGUCAAAUCCUUCCGGAAAAAAAAAAGAAAAAAAGACGAUUUCGUCGCCUCCCCUGUAUUACGAUGGCAAUACCAAAAGCAACGGAGGAAACUGAUUUACAUCUACUACCUUCAAAUCGCGAAUUCUUAAAUUUUGCGUAUUUCGUUUUACAUUUUAUCUCCGACCAAACACAGAGAGAGAGAGAGAGAGAGAGAGAGAGAGAGAGUGGUACAAAAUCCGGUGACUACAGAAAAAUGCGGUUACCACAGGCAGUGGAGGCCUUGAGCGCUAGAGCAGCAUCCAUCAGAGAGUCGCUGCAGAAGAACCAGACCAUCACACGGACAACUUGGUCUCCAUUCUCGGUUCCUUCGACCACCGCCUCUCCGCCCUCGAAACCGCCAUGCGUCCCACUCAAGUACACUUUUCCUAUUCCCUGUUUGGUUACCGAGGAAAUAGAGGAAACAAAUCUCCAGUGCGAGCGAAAAGAAAAUGAUAGAAAAAGCCCACGAGUCAUGUUUUCAACACUGUUCCUUUACAAAUGUUUAAAACGAUGGAGAAAUGCAAUGCAAUUUGUUGAAAUGGUUUUUGUCUCUGCUCUCUAAUGCUCCUAAUGAGAUCUACAUGAUGAAUUCUGAUGCAAAGCGUUUUGAUUUUGAGUUAUAUAUGUAUAUGUAUGCAUUUUCUGUGGCUGUGGUAGAUUCGAUUCAUUCGAACACAUUCGAUACGGAGGGCGCAAUGUUAUAUUGGGGAAAUUUGACCUCACGCCCAAGGCAGAGGUGAAGAUACUCAGAGGACCACAUGAGGACCUUGAAAGUUACCUAGAAGCAAUUGAUCGGCGGAGAAGCAUUGUUUGUUUUUUCAGCAGCAAUAGAAGUUUUAAGAGUAGGGGAGGCAUCCUUAACCAGACAAAUACCUUGCUUGCAAAAGCUAUCUCAAAACUUGAAGAUUAGUUCAGACAGCUGUUAACAAAUUACAGGUCAAGCUGCUCUUUGCUGGGGAAAAGAAAGUCUGCGACCAAAUAUUCGAUGGCAUUGAUUCUCUCAGGGAUCAGUGUUUUGCUGACAUCACUGCAAACAGUGUGUCUGCUCCUCAGUUUUGGGGACGCUAUUUCCAAGAGCAAGAGAUCACCUGAAAAUUGUUUGUUAUUUUAGACAUGUAUGAGAUAAUGAGAGAACUCCAGCAAGAGGAAUCUGCGAUGAGUUUGACAAAGCGGCUAGCUUAGAUGGCCCAGGAGACCUUUGGUGACUUCAAACAAGCAGUUGAAAAAGAUGCCACCAAAACUACUGUACUUGAUGGAACUGUUCAUCCUUUGACCAGCUAUGUGGUAAAUUAUGUAAAGUUUCUCGAGUAAGUUGUAAUCCCUCUGCUUUCCACUUCCUGUAGCUGGUUGGGCUCAUGGCCCUUAAUUAUUUUGCGGUAGUUGAUUGUUUAGUGUAAGUAAUAUUACAGGUUAUCUUUCUCUAAUUUAUAAUUGUAAUGGUUACCUUCUAUGAGACAAGUUGUCUUGCCUACAUAUCUUAUAUAUAUUGUUUCUGUGUAUCGUCUUUAUUCUGAGCAAUUUCAUUGUAAUUUCA